AUAGAAUUUUCAAUUCUUUUACACCGUUAAACUAGCAAGUCUCACAUACCGGCCGUUAAAAAUUGUCAAUUUUAUGAGUUUUUGAUCGUAAGGUAAAUGAUGUCGAAAAAUUAUAAAAUUUAAUUUCUAAAAAUUUUAAAUGCUCUAGAUAAUAUUUAACGGUAUAGAUCGUCGAUUCGGAAGCUCUAUCAUCGAAAAUAACUUAUGAGUACGAGGGCGGUCGUACUCAUAAUAAUAUAGUAGUCGGACUCAUAUAGAGUAGGGCUACUAUACUUUUAUGAGUAUUGGACCCUUCGUACUCAUAAGUUGUUCUCGAUAUUGGAGCUUCCGAAUUGACGAUCCACACUGUUAAAUAUAAUCUAGAGUAUUUGAAACUUCUAGAAAAUAGAUUUCGUAAUUUUUCAAAAUCAUAAUAAAAUCCAUCAAACGGACAUAAAAUGAAUGGUCAAAAUCGAACAACGUCCUAAAAAUAGAUGAUCAGAUCCUUCAAUUUAAGAUCAGAGUUAUUGAUCUUUAUCUAGGUAGUGAACAGAAUUUUCUAUCAAAAAUUCAACAUAUUCCAAUUCUCUUACACCGUUAAACUAGCAAGUAUCCCAUAUCGGCAGUUAAAAAUUAUCAAUUUUGUGAGCUUUUGAUCGUAAGGUAAAUGAUGUAGAAAUAUUAUGAAAUUUAAUUUCUAGAAAUUUUAAAUGCUCUAGAUAAUAUUUAACUGUAUAGACCGUUGAUUCGGAAGCUCUAUCAUCGAAAACAACUUAUGAGUACGAGGGUGAUCGUACUCAUAAUAGUAUAGCAGCCGGAUUUUAUAUAUAUAUAUAGAGUAGGACUGUUGUGCUCUCAGGAGCAUGGAGGCCUCCGUGCUCCUGAGUCGUUUUCGAUGAUAGAAUUUUCGAAUCGACGAUCGGCUCCGUUAGACUUGAUCUAGUGUAUUUGAAGUUACUAGAAAAUUUUUUUUGUAAUUUUUCGAUAUCAUUUACCUAGUGAUCGAAAGUAUUCAAAAUCAAAAAUUUUGAAUGGUUGAUAUCUACCGUUUUUAAGUUUAACGGUAUAGAAGUAUUCAAUGGUUGAUAUCUACCGUUUUUAAGUUAUUUUCAAUGAUGCGGCUUCCAAAUCGAUGAUCGGCUCCGUUAGACUUGAUCUACACUAUUAAAAGUAUUUGGAAACUAAAUUUCAUAAUUUUUCGGCAUCAUUUACCUAUCAAACGAAUAGUGUAAAAAUGAACGGCUGAAAAUAAAAAUUUCAAAAAAAAUGAUGAUAAAAGACUUGAAUUUAAGAUCAGGAGUACUGAUCUUACUCUAAAUAGUAAAAAAAAAAUCUGUAAAAGUUUGAUCAAAUUUGAAUUGUUUUACACCGUUAAAUUCAUAAAUGCAUCACAUCUACCAUUAAAAUUGUCAAUUUGAAACCUUUUGAUCACUAGCCAAAUGAUGUUGAAAAAUUAUGAAAUUUAGUUUUCAAAUAUUUUCAAUAAUGUAGAUCAAGUCUAACAGAGCCGAUCGUCGAUUUGGAAGCCGCAUCAUUGAAAACAACAUGGUAGCACGAAGGCCUCCGUG
rnacentral:lncRNA from 1 species